rnacentral:rRNA from 1 species
UACGGCUCAGUAACACGUUGUCAAUCUACCCUGAAGAUGUGGAUAACCCCGGGAAACUGGGAUUAAACCACGAUAGAUCAAGAUUUCUGGAAUGGAUCUUGAUUCAAAGGAAGGAUGAGCAUGUUCAUCUAUUUGCCUCAGGAUGGGACUGCGACCGAUCAGGUUGUUGGUGGAGUAAUAGCCCACCAAGCCAGUAACCGGUACGGGCUUUGAGAGAAGGAGCCCGGAGAUGGACACUGAGAAAAGAGUCCAGGUCCUACGGGGCGCAGCAGGCGCGAAACCUUCGCAAUGCACGAAAGUGCGACGAGGUUAUUUCGAGUGCUAUCCGCUGAGGAUAGCUUUUGUCAGGUGUAAAUAGCCUGAAGAAUAAGGGGAGGGCAAGUCUGGUGUCAGCCGCCGCGGUAAUACCAGCUCCCCGAGUGGUCGGGACGAUUAUUGGGCCUAAAGCAUCCGUAGCCUGCUUUGCAGGUCUUCUGUUAAAUUCAACGGCUUAACCGUUGAGCUGCAGGAGAUACCACAAGGCUAGGAGGUGGAAGAGGUAGACGGUACUCCAUGGGUAGGGGUAAAAUCCUCUGAUCCAUGGAAGACCACCAGUGGCGAAGGCGGUCUACCAGAACGCGCUCGACGGUGAGGGAUGAAAGCUGGGGGAGCGAACCGGAUUAGAUACCCGGGUAGUCCCAGCUGUAAACGAUGCUAGCUAGGUGACGGAGUGGUUUCGUACCAUUCCGGUGCCGCAGGGAAGCCGUUAAGCUAGCCGCCUGGGGAGUACGGUCGCAAGACUGAAACUUAAAGGAAUUGGCGGA